rnacentral:rRNA from 1 species
GACAGAGGAUGCAAGCGUUAUCCGGAAUGAUUGGGCGUAAAGCGUCUGUAGGUGGUGCGUUAAGUCUGUCGUGAAAGCCCCGGGCUCAACCUGGGAAUGGCGAUGGAUACUGGCGCGCUAGAGUGCGGUAGAGGAGAGUGGAAUUCCCGGUGUAGCAGUGAAAUGCGUAGAGAUCGGGAGGAACAUCAGUUGCGAAGGCGGCUCUCUGGACCAGCACUGACACUGAGGCACGAAAGCGUGGGGAGCAAACAGGGA